rnacentral:rRNA from 1 species
UGAUCCGGAUCAGGGACAGUGUCUGAUGGGUAGUUUAACUGGGGCGGUUGCCUCCUAAAGAGUAACGGAGGCGCCCAAAGGUUCCCUCAGCCUGGUUGGCAAUCAGGUGUUGAGUGUCAGUGCACAAGGGAGCUUGACUGUGAGACCGACGGGUCGAGCAGGGACGAAAGUCUGGACUAGAGAUCCGGCAGUGGCAUGUGGAAGCGCUGUCGCUCAACGGAUAAAAGGUACCCCGGGGAUAACAGGCUGAUCUUCCCCAAGAGUCCAUAUCGACGGGAUGGUUUGGCACCUCGAUGUCGGCUCGUCGCAUCCUGGGGCUGGAGUCGGUCCCAAGGG